UCUAAGUGCACAGAACGUUGGGAAUGCAAUGCUUCUCCAAGUAUCACUCCAUCAGUGUUUACGAUUGCGCAGCCAGUAUCAUCACAGCUCGAUUCGAUCCCUAGAAUAACUGCUGCAGACUUAUCAGAACUGAACUUUUUAACGCUACUUCGUAAUAAUUGUUUCAAAGGAAACAACCUUCCAAAAUAUGUCAGACCGGCAUAUGAAGCUACGUCGUUGACUGAAGAUUUUUAAAGACAGCCAGCGAAAUAGGGUCUAUUGAAG
rnacentral:misc_RNA from 1 species